AUGGCGCCGCAGCUCCUGGGCUACUACUCGGUCUCCUCCUGGCCCCGGCUCCCGCAGGUUCCCCCGUGGCCCUGCGCAUCCCACGUCCAGCGCCGGGUGAUAUGCUUUGGGCCGCCCCGCUGCCGCGCCGGCGCAGUCAGGGUGUUAGCGGAGGUGGACCCUGCGCUGGCCCUGGGCCGCGGUGCGAAGGCGGUGGAAAUCCAGUUUCCGACUGAGGAGGAUGGUGUGGGGAAUGAGGAAGACGGCGAGGGAGUGGACGAGAGGGAGAGGAUGAGGCGGAUGCGGAUAUCGCAGGCGAACAAGGGGAAUACGCCGUGGAACAAGGGCAGGAAGCACAGCCCAGAGACGCUCCAGCGGAUUCGGGAGAGGACACGGCUUGCUAUGCAGAACCCCAAGGUUAAGAAAAAGCUGAUGAAUCUCGGACAUGCUCAGAGUGAAGAGACCAAAAUUAAGAUAUCAUUGGGAGUGAGGCGUGGGUGGAGCUUGCGUCUACAGAAGCUAAUGGUUCAGGAUGGCUGCUUUGUGGAGUGGCGGGAAAUGAUAGCAGAUGCAGCUAGGAAGGGCUUUGCUGGUGGAGUUGCCUUCCAAUGGAAUUCACAUAAAAUAUUGACUGAGCAAUUGCGGCAGGAAUGGUUGGAGAAAGUCCAGCAAAGACGAUCAAUGCCUAGGCCGACAGGUAAUAGAAGAGCGCCAAAAACUCCAGAGCAGAGGAGAAAAAUUGCAGAAGCCAUUGCUGCGAAGUGGUUGGAUCGAGAAUACCGUGAACGUGUUUGCAGUGCAAUUAAUAGCUAUCAUGGAACAUCUUCUGGAUCUAAAGUACCGCGUAAACAAAGAACUCCGAGAGAACCAGGUGCAAAGCGUGAAAAAAAGAAAUCUAUUCAACACAGAGCUGUCAGCUUGGACGAUGCACAUGCAAAAACUGCUCCGGUUAAGAGAAAGAAAAGUGCAACUCCUUACAAAGAUCCUAUGGCAGGUGAGAAACUAGAGAUGAUAACGAAGAUUCGAGCCCAAAGGACAGCACUGGAAAUAGAGAAGAAAGAGGCUAUUGAAAGGGCCAGGUCACUCAUUGUAGAAGCCGAGAAAGCUGCAAAUGCUCUUGAGCCUGUUGCAGCGAAAAUUCCAUUUGCCCAAGCAUCACUUAUAGAAGCUAGAAAGCUUGUUACAGAGGCAAGAAUGUCACUCGAAGGUGUUGAUGAUAAUGAUGGGCCAGCAGAAAGUUCUUCUGAUGAUACAUCCGAUGACUCGGGUGUAUCGGAACUGCACAAGUUGGAGAAUCAAAAUGACCUUAUUAAACAAGAGAAUAAAUUUGUAAAUGGAAUGAAGCUACCUCCAAGGACUGUUAAUGGCAUGGAUUUCUAUUUUGAUGUGUCUGCACUAGGUGAAAAGGAACAACUCAGUAUGUUUCAGAGGAUAGAGAACUCCAUGGAAAGAGCUUAUUUGCUUCCUUCAGCUUUUUCAACAGCUCAAGAUGUGAACGGAAAUCCUGGAACAAAUGAUCUAUAUAUCAGUGAGCAAGUGGUCAAUAACGACCAGAUCGACCGGAUUGCAGCAGAUACAACAGAAUUUAUUUCAGCAGAGCCACUAGAGGAUGUGUCCUCACCUGCUAAUAAGUCUAAGAUGAGAUGGGUACGUGGAAGACUAGUUGAAGGAGAAGAAUAA
rnacentral:rRNA from 1 species